GUGCUCACUUUGGCAGCCCAUAUACUAAAACUGGGACGAUACAGAGAUCAGCACGGCCCCUGUGUGAGGGUGACACACAAAUUUGCAAAGCUUCCAUGUUAAAA
ensembl:snRNA U6 U6 spliceosomal RNA